rnacentral:rRNA from 1 species
AGAUUGAACGCUGGCGGCAUGCCUUACACAUGCAAGUCGAACGGCAGCACGGGAGCAAUCCUGGUGGCGAGUGGCGAACGGGUGAGUAAUAUAUCGGAACGUGCCCAGUCGUGGGGGAGUAACGCAGUGAAAGCUGUGCUAAUACCGCAUACGAUCUAUGGAUGAAAGCGGGGGACUCGCAAGAGCCUCGCGCGAUUGGAGCGGCCGAUAUCAGAUUAGCUAGUUGGUGGGGUAAAAGCCCACCAAGGCGACGAUCUGUAGCUGGUCUGAGAGGACGACCAGCCACACUGGAACUGAGACACGGUCCAGACUCCUACGGGAGGCAGCGAGUGGGGAUUUGGACAAU